rnacentral:rRNA from 1 species
GACGAACGCUGGCGGCGUGCUUAACACAUGCAAGUCGAACGAAGUGGCGAACGGGUGAGUAACGCGUAAUCAACCUGACCUUCAGACGGGGACAACAGUUGGAAACGACUGCUAAUACCGCAUACCUAAGGAGGGGAUUGCGUCUGCUUAGCUAGUUGGAGUGGUAACGCCCCACCAUGGCGAUGAUCAGUAGCCGGUCUGAGAGGAUGAACGGCCACAUUGGGACUGAGACACGGCCCAGACUCCUACGGGAGGCAGCAGUGGGGCGUCUUCCGCAAUGGACGAAAGUCUGACGGAGCAACGCCGCGUGAGUGAUGACGGCCUUCUGGUUGUAAAGCUCUGUUAAUCGGGACGCGGUACCGGAAUAGAAAGCCACGGCUAACUACGUGCCAGCAGCCGCGGUAAUUC